CAGAGGGUGCGAGCGUUAACCGGAAUUACUGGGCGUAAAGCGUGCGUAGACGGUUAUUUAAGUCGGGUGUGAAAGCCCCGGGCUCAACCUGGGAAUUGCAUUCGAGACUGAAUAGCUAGGGUACGGUAGAGGGAAGUGGAAUUUCCGGUGUAGCGGUGAAAUGCGUAGAUAUCGGAAGGAACAUCAGUGGCGAAAGCGACUUCCUGGACCAGUACCGACGUUCAGGCACGAAAGCGUGGGGAGCAAACAGGAUUAGAUACCCUGGUAGUCCACGCCAUAAACGAUGAGGACUAGACGUUGGAGGGGUAAGCCUUUCAGUGUCGUAGCUAACGCGCUAAGUCCUCCGCCUGGGGAGUACGGCCGCAAGGUUG
rnacentral:rRNA from 1 species